rnacentral:rRNA from 1 species
AGCGAACGUUAGCGGCGCGCCUAACACAUGCAAGUCGCACGAGAAAGGGCUUCGGCCCCGGUAAAGUGGCGCACGGGUGAGUAACACGUGGGCAACCUGCCCAACCCUGGGGGAUAACCUGCCGAAAGGCGGGCUAAUACCGCGUACGAGGGCUCGACUUCGGUCGGGUUCUGAAAGCAGGCCUCUGUAUACAAGCUUGUGGGGGUGGACGGGCCCGCGCUCCAUCAGCUAGUUGGUGAGGUAACGGCUCACCAAGGCUACGACGGAUAGCUGGUCUGAGAGGAUGAUCAGCCACACUGGAACUGAGACACGGUCCAGACUCCUACGGGAGGCAGCAGUGGGGAAUCUUGCGCAAUGGACGAAAGUCUGACGCAGCGACGCCGCGUGGGUGACGAAGGCCUUCGGGUUGUAAAGCCCUGUGGGGUGAGACGAACAGCUGGGGUUCAAAUAGGGCCUCGGUCUGACGGUAUCACCUUAGCAAGCACCGGCUAACUCUGUGCCAGCCGCCGCAGUAAGAC